UAGGGAAUCUUCCGCAAUGGACGAAAGUCUGACGGAGCAACGCCGCGUGAGUGAAGAAGGAUUUCGGUUCGUAAAACUCUGUUGUUAGGGAAGAAAAAAUGUAUAGUAACUAUAUACAAAAGAGACGGUACCUAACCAGAAAGCCACGGCUAACUACGUGCCAGCAGCCGCGGUAAUACGUAGGUGGCAAGCGUUGUCCGGAAUUAUUGGGCGUAAAGCGCGCGCAGGUGGUUUAGAAAGUCUGAUGUGAAAGCCCACGGCUCAACCGUGGAGGGUCAUUGGAAACUAAUAAACUUGAGUGCAGGAGAGAAAAGUGGAAUUCCUAGUGUAGCGGUGAAAUGCGUAGAGAUUAGGAGGAACACCGGUGGCGAAGGCGGCUUUUUGGCCUGCAACUGACACUGAGGCGCGAAGGCGUGGGGAGCAAACAGG
rnacentral:rRNA from 1 species